UUUGAGUCAUCUUUUCCCUGUUAGCCUUUGGGUUGAGUGGAGCCUCAGUCAGAAGCACAGGGUGCUCUUCGGGAGCAACACGAAGCUCAUUGUAGAAUGUGUGAUGCCAAAUCUUUUCCAUGUCAUCCCAGUUACUGACUAUACCAUGUUCAAUGGGAUAUUUCAAGGUAAGGAUACCUCUUUUAGACUGAGCUUCAUCCCCAACAUAAGCAUCUUUUUGGCCCAUCCCAACCAUGACACCGGUAUGUCGGGGACGACCAACAAUACUGGGGAAAACUGCCCUAGGAGCAUCAUCACCAGCAAAGCCAGCCUUCACCAUUCCAGUUCCAUUGUCACAGACAAGUGGCUGAAUAUCCUCGGCGUCGGCCAUUUCUUUUCAAAAACUUGGAUUAAAGAGAGGAGGAAUGAGUGAGGAAGAGGAAGAAGAAGAAGCCAACCUCCAACGAAGAAGGUGUGGCCGAGAGGAGUGAGUGUUGUUGUCGACCUAGGUGAG
rnacentral:misc_RNA from 1 species